GCAUGGCUGUCGUCAGCUCGUGUCGUGAGAUGUUGGGUUAAGUCCCGCAACGAGCGCAACCCUCACUUUUAGUUGCCAUCGUUUAGUUGGGCACUCUGAAAGAACUGCCAGUGAUAAGCUGGAGGAAGGUGGGGAUGACGUCAAGUCCUCAUGGCCCUUACGUGUUGGGCUACACACGUGCUACAAUGGCAUUUACAACAGGAAGCAAAACGGCGACGUUAAGCAAAUCCUAAAAAAAUGCCUCAGUUCGGAUUGUACUCUGCAACUCGAGUACAUGAAGCUGGAAUUACUAGUAAUCGCGGAUCAGCGCGCCGCGGUGAAUACGUUCCCGGGUCUUGUACACACGCAUC
rnacentral:rRNA from 1 species